GAUGAAGAACGUAGCGAAAUGCGAUAAGUAAUGUGAAUUGCAGAAUUCAGUGAAUCAUCGAAUCUUUGAACGCACAUUGCGCCCGCCAGUAUUCUGGCGGGCAUGCCUGUCUGAGCGUCAUUUCAACCCUCAUGCCCCUAGGGCGUGGUGUUGGGGAUCGGCCAAAGCCCGCGAGGGACGGCCGGCCCCUAAAUCUAGUGGCGGACCCGUCGUGGCCUCCUCUGCGAAGUAGUGAUAUUCCGCAUCGGAGAGCGACGAGCCCCUGCCGUUAAACCCCCAACUUUCCAAGGUUGACCUCAGAUCAGGUGGGAAUACCCGCUGAACUUAAGCAUAUCAAUAAGCGGAGGA
rnacentral:misc_RNA from 1 species